rnacentral:snoRNA from 1 species
CCAAUCGAGGAGGACGAGUUCAUCUCUUUCAUCGUCACCGGGCUUGAUAUGGAAUAUCAGCCCAUCAUCUCUGCACUCGACGUCCGCACCGAGCCCAUCACUGUCGAUGCACUCUUCUCGAUGGUGGCAAACUUCGAUC